rnacentral:rRNA from 1 species
GUAUUGAGCUUUCCAUCCGGCCCGUCUUGNAACACGGACCAAGGAGUNUAACAUGUAUGCGAGCCGGUGGGUGGCAAACCCNCGNAGGCGCAAGUAACCUGACAGGUGGGAUCCCCUUGCGGGGAGCACCAUCGACCGACCAUGAUCUUCUGUGAAAGGUUUGAGUGCGAGCAUACCUGCUGGGACCCGAAAGAUGGUGAACUAUGCCUGAGCAGGGCGAAGCCAGAGGAAACUCUGGUGGAGGCUCGUAGCGAUACUGACAGUGCAAAUCGUUCGUCAGACUUGGGUAUAGGGGCGAAAGACUAAUCGAACCAUCUAGUAGCUGGUUCCCUCCGAAGUUUCCCUCAGGAUAGCUGGAGCUCAUGAAGUUUUAUCAGGUAAAGCGAAUGAUUAGAGGCAUUGGGGGUGAAACACCCUCGACCUAUUCUCAAACUUUAAAUAGGUAAGCCGCC